ACGGCUCAGUAACACGUGGAUAACCUGCCCUUGGGUCUGGCAUAACCCCGGGAAACUGGGGAUAAUUCCGGAUAACGCAUAUAUGCUGGAAUGCUUUAUGCGUAAAAUGGAUUCGUCCGCCCAAGGAUGGGUCUGCGGCCUAUCAGGUAGUAGUGGGUGUAAUGUACCUACUAGCCUACAACGGGUACGGGUUGUGAGAGCAAGAGCCCGGAGAUGGAUUCUGAGACAUGAAUCCAGGCCCUACGGGGCGCAGCAGGCGCGAAAACUUUACAAUGCGGGAAACCGUGAUAAGGGGACACCGAGUGCUAGCAUCAUAUGCUGGCUGUCCAGGUGUGUAAAAUACACCUGUUAGCAAGGGCCGGGCAAGACCGGUGCCAGCCGCCGCGGUAACACCGGCGGCCCGAGUGGUGAUCGUGAUUAUUGGGUCUAAAGGGUCCGUAGCCGGUUUGGUCAGUCUUCCGGGAAAUCUGAUAGCUCAACUAUUAGGCUUUCGGGGGAUACUGCCAGACUUGGAACCGGGAGAGGUAAGAGGUACUACAGGGGUAGGAGUGAAAUCUUGUAAUCCCUGUGAGACCACCUGUGGCGAAGGCGUCUUACCAGAACGGGUUCGACGGUGAGGGACGAAAGCUGGGGGCACGAACCGGAUUAGAUACCCGGGUAGUCCCAGCCGUAAACGAUGCUCGCUAGGUGUCAGGCAUGGCGCGACCGUGUCUGGUGCCGCAGGGAAGCCGUGAAGCGAGCCACCUGGGAAGUACGGCCGCAAGGCUGAAACUUAAAGGAAUUGGCGGGGGAGCAC
rnacentral:rRNA from 1 species